rnacentral:rRNA from 1 species
GAUGAACGCUAGCUACAGGCUUAACACAUGCAAGUCGAGGGGUAACAAGAGAAAAGCUUGCUUUUCUUGUUGACGACCGGCGCACGGGUGAGUAACGCGUAUCCAACCUGCCUAUAACUAGGGAAUAACCUUGCGAAAGUAAGACUAAUACCCUAUGAUUUCCUUUGAUGGCAUCAGAUUAGGAAUAAAGAUUUAUCGGUUAUAGAUGGGGAUGCGUCUGAUUGGCUUGUUGGCGGGGUAACGGCCCACCAAGGCAACGAUCAGUAGGGGUUAUGAGAGGAAGGUCCCCCACAUUGGAACUGAGACACGGUCCAAACUCCUACGGGAGGCAGCAGUGAGGAAUAUUGGUCAAUGGGCGGAAGCCUGAACCAGCCAAGUAGCGUGCAGGAUGACGGCCCUAUGGGUUGUAAACUGCUUUUAUACAGGAAUAAAGUUAGCCACGUGUGGUUAUUUGUAGGUACUGUAUGAAUAGGGACCGGCUAAUUCCGUGCCAGCCGCCGCAGUAA